AUGGCCCCCAAGGCGGCGGAGAAGAAGCCGGCGGCGAAGAAGCCCGCGGAGGAGGAGAAGGCCGAGAAGGCGCCGGCCGGGAAGAAGCCCAAGGCCGAGAAGCGGCUGCCGGCGGCGGGCAAGGGCAAGGGCGGCGGCGACAAGAAGUCCAGGAAGAAGGGCAAGAAGAGCGUGGAGACGUACAAGAUCUACAUCUUCAAGGUGCUGAAGCAGGUGCACCCCGACAUGGGCAUCUCCUCAAAGGCCAUGUCCAUCAUGAACUCCUUCAUCAACGACAUCUUCGAGAAGCUCGCCGGCGAGGCCGCCAAGCUCGCCCGCUACAACAAGAAGCCCACCAUCACGUCACGGGAGAUCCAGACCUCCGUCCGCCUCGUCCUCCCCGGCGAGCUCGCCAAGCACGCCGUCUCCGAGGGCACCAAGGCCGUCACCAAGUUCACCUCCUCUUAG
rnacentral:rRNA from 1 species